AUGCCGGUUCUUUGCAACUCGUAUUUCGGUUCAAAGUGUAGUUUUGAGGUUCUUCAUCACGAACCCACCCAGUCAAUCUAUGUCACGUCGUCCGGUUCCUUGAAGGUCGGAUGCCGGUUCUUUGCAACUUGUAUUUCGCUUCGAUGUGUAGUUUCAACGGUUCUUCAUCGCGAACCCACCUACGCACUCCAUGACACCUCGUCCGGUUCCAUGAAGGUCGGAUGCCGGUUCUUUGCAACUCUUGGUUCGGUUCAAAGUGUAGUUUCGGCGGUUCUUCAUCGCGAACCCACCCACUCACUCCAUGUCACCUUGUCCGGUGAGCAAAUAAACUACUACUCUUUUAAUUUAAAGGUGCAAGUCCCAAUCUCUCUCCUCUUUAAUUACCCAAGCCCCAAUGAGCUAGGUGCAUGUAGAAAUUAA
rnacentral:rRNA from 1 species